rnacentral:rRNA from 1 species
AAGCUCGUAGUUGAAUUUCGGGGUCUACCCAUUGGUCAGGCUUAAUUGUCUGCACUGGUGAGAUGGAUCUCUACCUUCUGAGGAACUUUCAUGCCAUUUAUUUGGUGUGAUGGGAAAUCAGGACUGUUACUUUGAAAAAAUUAGAGCGUUUAAAGCAGACUAUCGUCUGAAUACAUUAGCAUGGAAUAAUGAAAUAGGACGGACUGAUUCUAUUUCGUUGGUUUCUAGGAUCACCGUAAUGAUUAAUAGGGAUAGUUGGG